ACGAACGCUGGCGGCAUGCCUAACACCUGCAAGUCAAACGAGACCUUCGGGUCUAGUGGCGCACGGGUGCGUAACGCGUGGGAACCUGCCCUUAGGUUCGGAAUAACUCCCCGAAAGGGGUGCUAAUACCGGAUAAUGUCUUCGGACCAAAGAUUUAUCGCCUUUGGAUGGGCCCGCGUUGGAUUAGCUAGUUGGUAGGGUAAAAGCCUACCAAGGCGACGAUCCAUAGCUGGUCUGAGAGGAUGAUCAGCCACACUGGGACUGAGACACGGCCCAGACUCCUACGGGAGGCAGCAGUGGGGAAUAUUGGACAAUGGGCGAAAGCCUGAUCCAGCAAUGCCGCGUGAGUGAUGAAGGCCUUAGGGUUGUAAAGCUCUUUUACCCGGGAUGAUAAUGACAGUACCGGGAGAAUAAGCUCCGGCUAACUCCGUG
rnacentral:rRNA from 1 species